UAAGGAAUAUUGGACAAUGGAGGCAACUCUGAUCCAGCCAUCCCGCGUGCAGGAAGAAGGCCCUUCGGGUUGUAAAGCACUUUCGGACGGAACGAAAUCGCGCGUAUGAACAAUGCGCGUGGAUGACGGUACCGUAAGACGAAGCACCGGCUAACUACGUGCCAGCAGCCGCGGUAAUACGUAGGGUGCAAGCGUUAAUCGGAAUUACUGGGCGUAAAGGGUGCGCAGGCGGCCCCGCAUGUCGAGUGUGAAAUCCCCGGGCUUAACUUGGGAAUGGCGCUCGAAACUACGGGGCUGGAGUGUGGCAGAGGGAGGUGGAAUUCCAGGUGUAGCGGUGAAAUGCGUAGAGAUCUGGAGGAACACCGAUGGCGAAGGCAGCCUCCUGGGCCAACACUGACGCUCAUGCACGAAAGCGUGGGGAGCAA
rnacentral:rRNA from 1 species